rnacentral:rRNA from 1 species
AUGGACCACUUCCAGGACGGGCACCACGUGCGGCUGCGGAGCCGCGUGCAGCGCACCUACCUCCACGCCGCCGCCGACGGGGAGAGCGUCACCCUCAGCCAGCCCCGCGCCUCCAUGAACGCGGCGUGGGCGGUGCACAUCUACGACGGCGGAGACGGCGAAGGCGAAGGAGACGGCGAUGGACCGUACCUGCUCCUCCACAGCGCCGCCUACGGCCGCUAUCUUUCCGCCACGGCCAGGCCGGCGAGGCGAGGCCACCACGGCCUGCGCGUGGAGCUGCGCGACUACGACCAGCCGGAGGUGGAGGCCAUCAGGUGGCGGGCCAUCGGGUCGGGCUUCGCGGACGACGUCGUCAUGCUCCGCCAUGUCGGCGGCAGCUACCUCCGCGCCAACGGCAAGUACCUCCCCUGGAACUCCACCGGCGUCAGCGUCGACGACAAGGCCAGCUCCAUGAUGUACUGGAUCGUCGAGCCCAUCCCCUUGAGAGAGGCGGGCAUACCUGCCAUUCCUGGCCCGCUUCCGACUCCCCUAAUAGACCUCUCCGCCAUAUUCACGCGCCGGGGAGCGGAACGGGAGAUCCGAGGCGUCGAGCCCAUCCCGGGAGAGGCGGCCAUGCCUGCCGAUCAUAGCCCGAAUCGCCCAAUAUUCUCCGCCAUAUUCAGUUCUCGCGGACGGCGCAUCCGGUUCGUGCUGGCGCUCGAGGACGGGUACUACCCCGAGGAGGUCGACGCCGACGACUGGCGCCAGUUCUGGUUCAGGGGGAGGUCCGCGUUCAGCCUGAGAGGCAACCUGGCGGCCCACAUCGACGAGGACGACCCGAACAUCGCCAUGUGCGUCCGAGCAGGCCGCCACGGGAGGCUGACCCCGCUCGUCGUCAACCUGCCCGACGGUGGCUAUGGCGGGACCCUCGAGAUCGUCGUCUUCCUGGCCGGGACCCCUGGCUACGAUGCGCUGCGAUACCCAGAUGUCGAUGCACAGUAG